rnacentral:rRNA from 1 species
UACGGGGGGGGCAAGCGUUGUUCGGAAUUACUGGGCGUAAAGGGCUCGUAGGCGGCCAACUAAGUCCGACGUGAAAUCCCCAGGCUUAACCUGGGAACUGCGUCGGAUACUGGAUGGCUUGAAUUCGGGAGAGGGAUGCAGAAUUCCAGGUGUAGCGGUGAAAUGCGUAGAUAUCUGGAGGAACACCGGUGGCGAAAGCGGCGCGCUGGACCUCUUCUGACGCUGAGGCGCGAAAGCCAGGGGAGCGAACGGG